UUAAAGUUUAGUUGUGGGUUAUUGUGUCCUUUGACCGUCCGUCUUAUUUAAAAUUUCUUUACGAUUAUUAUUUUCAGUGUCAUUAGAUGAUAAAAUAUGAAUAAUGUUUUAUGUAUGUUUUUUUUUAUUUUUUUAUAAAAUUAUCAAAUCAAACGAAUGAUCAUGUAUUGGAUACAAAGAAACCCACAACUACAUUACAA
rnacentral:pre_miRNA from 1 species